CUUCUUGCUGACACUCCUGUCCCUCCCUCCCACCUGACACAUGGAACACGUGGGAAAGGCAGUGCCAAGGAACCAUCUGACAAACGGAUUUCACCCAAACCAAAGUGACCCUCACAGAUGUGAGGCUGCAUCCCAGGCUAGUCAGCAUGGCCUGGUAACUGAGAUCAGGAAGAGAAUUCCCCACAUUCUGUUCGUACGAUGACCUUGGAUAACUUGGCUCUGUUCUUGUGGGAUUUGGAGCUCUGCUCCCGGAUGGAUGUGAGAUGAGAGUGCCGGUUCCAUAUGGACAAUAAACUAAUGGACUGUAUUUCAAAACCAUCUGACUGCAAGAAGCCCAGAUUUGUGCUGCUCCUCCGCACUGCACUGCAGGAGAGCAAUACAGAAACCCACCAGCCCGUUGGAGAAGGCUGGACAGUGCAGAUCGAGGUUUAAACCAAGCCCCAAGUCUUCAGUUCACCUCUGUAAGAGUUCUUUGCACUAACAUGCAUUCAGUUUGUUUCUAAAAGACCCACAUCAAAUUAAAAACAAGAAAUUCAAAG